rnacentral:sRNA from 1 species
AUUACUCGCCAUUUCAAAAUGCUGCCGAGGCCCUAGGACCUGUGACUGCCACCCCUCCCCCCACCCGGGCUCGGCGGGGGAGCGACUCAUGGAGCUGCCGUAAGUUUUACCAACAGACUGCAGUUUCUUCACUGCCAAAAUGACAUCAUUUUCCACCUCUGCCCAGUGUUCAACAUCUGACAGUGCUUGCAGGAUCUCUCCUGGACAAGUCAAUCAGGUACGACCAAAACUGCCACUUUUGAAGAUUUUGCAUGCAGCAGGUGCGCAAGGUGAAAUGUUCACUGUUAAAGAGGUCAUGCACUAUUUAGGUCAGUACAUAAUGGUGAAGCAACUUUAUGAUCAGCAGGAGCAGCAUAUGGUAUAUUGUGGUGGAGAUCUUUUGGGAGAACUACUGGGACGUCAGAGCUUCUCCGUGAAAGACCCAAGCCCUCUCUAUGAUAUGCUAAGAAAGAAUCUUGUCACUUUAGCCACUGCUACUACAGGAUCACAGUAUGGAUAUUCCAAGUCAAGACCAACUGAAGCAAAGUGCAGAGGAAAGUUCCACUUCCAGGAAAAGAACUACAGAAGACGAUAUCCCCACACUGCCUACCUCAGAGCAUAAAUGCAUAAAUUCUAGAGAAGAUGAAGACUUAAUUGAAAAUUUAACCCAAGAUGAGACGUCUAGGCUGGACCUUGGAUUUGAGGAAUGGGAUGUAGCUGGCCUGCCUUGGUGGUUUUUAGGAAACUUGAGAAGCAACUAUACACCUAGAAGUAAUGGCUCAACUGAUUUACAGACAAAUCAGGAUGUGGGUACUGCCAUUGUUUCAGAUACUACAGAUGACUUGUGGUUUUUGAAUGAGUCAGUAUCAGAGCAGUUAGGUGUUGGAAUAAAAGUUGAAGCUGCUGAUACUGAACAAACAAGUGAAGAAGUAGGGAAAGUAAGUGACAAAAAGGUGAUUGAAGUGGGAAAAAAUGAUGACCUGGAGGACUCUAAGUCCUUAAGUGAUGAUACCGAUGUAGAAGUUACCUGUGAGGAUGAGUGGCAAUGUACUGAAUGCAAGAAAUUUAACUCUCCAAGCAAGAGGUACUGUUUUCGUUGUUGGGCCUUGAGGAAGGAUUGGUAUUCAGAUUGUUCAAAGUUAACCCAUUCUCUCUCCACGUCUGAUAUCACUGCCAUACCUGAAAAGGAAAAUGAAGGAAAUGAUGUCCCUGAUUGUCGAAGAACCAUUUCGGCUCCUGUCGUUAGACCUAAAGAUGUGUAUAUAAAGAAAGAAAACUCCAAACUUUUUGAUCCCUGCAACUCGGUGGAAUUCUUGGAUUUGGCUCACAGUUCUGAAAGCCAAGAGACCAUCUCAAGCAUGGGAGAACAGUUAGAUAACCUUUCUGAACAGAGAACAGAUACAGAAAACAUGGAGGAUUGCCAGAAUCUCUUGAAGCCAUGUAGCUUAUGUGAGAAAAGACCACGAGACGGAAACAUUAUUCAUGGGAGGACGGGCCAUCUUGUCACUUGUUUUCACUGUGCCAGAAGACUAAAGAAGGCUGGGGCUUCAUGUCCUAUUUGUAAGAAAGAGAUUCAGCUGGUUAUUAAGGUUUUUAUAGCAUAAUGGUAGUACGAACAUAAAAAUGCAUUUAUUCAGUCCACUUACCACAUUAUUUGAAAAUCAAUCCUUUAUUUAAUUUUAUUUCCAACCUGUCAGAGAAUGUUCUUAGGCAUCAAAAUCCAAGGUAGCUGUAAGAAAAAUACUGGAGCUAACAAUGAAGAACAGAAGUAAUCUGAUUAGUCAAAUUAUGAAGUGCCAUGGAUUACUUUAUGCAGCAGUCAGGUACAUAGUUAGGUGAACCCAAAAGAAAAACUCUUGAAAACAAGAGAUUUCUUCCAUGCAUGUUUACAAUAUUGAGGUAUAAUUAACAUGAUAAAGUGUUUCCUUCUAACGAGUUGUAGAAAUCUGAGUAACCACCCAAAAAAAGCAAUAGAAUGUUUCUGUCACCCCAAAAUACUCCCUUCUGCCCCUCUUCAGACAGUCCUUCAGCUAUUUCAUGGCUCUCACCCUACAUUAGUUUUUUUUGCACUUUUUUUUCCAGGGGUGUAGGGGAGGUGUGGGGCGACAGGGUCUGUCUUGUUCUGUCUCCCAGGCUGAAGUGCAGUGCAGUGGUAUGAUCAUGGCUCACUGCAGCCUUGGUCUCCUGGGCAUAAGUGGUCUUCCCACUUCAGCCUCCCGAGUAGCUGAGACUAUAGACUAGCAUAACCACAUUGGCUAAUUUUUUGUGGAGAAGAAGUCUCACUAUGUUGCCCAGGCUGGUCUCGAACUCCUGGGCUCAAACAAUCCUCCCACCUCAGCCUUCCAAAGUGCUGGGAUUAUAGUCAUGAGGCACCUAGUCUGGCCCCUUUGCAAGACUUUAAUCUGAAAUCUAAAUUUUUAAAAUUUAAGUACUUACAAAGGAUAUACUAUCCAACAUAUUGCAUAUUAUAUAUGUGCUUUAAAGAUUUUUUUUUUUUUUUUUUGAGAGACAGGGUCUCACUUUGUCAUCCAAGCUGGAGUGCAGUGGUGCAAACACGGCUCACCUCCUGGGCUCAAGUGAUCCUCCAGCCUCAGCUUCCCUCACAGGCAUUCACUAUCACUCCCAGCUAAUUAAAAAAAUUUGUAGACAGUGUCUCAUUAUGUUGUCCAGGCUGGUCUCAAACUCCUAGGUUUAGGUGAUUCCCCCGCCUCAGCCUCCCAAAGUGUUGGGCUUACAGCCAUGAGCCACUGUGCUUGGCUUAAAGAUAUUUUUAUGAAAGCCCUGGGGCUAUAGAUUUAGCUGAUUAAAUUUAUAGAAAAAGUCCUGUCAUAAACUGGCAAAGCCUGUUCUUAAUUUAAUUAGCCAAAUCAGACUUAACUUCCGUCAGAACAUGUCUUGGUUUUAAUUCAGAUAAACGCACAAACGUACUUCUCUGGCACAGCCUUCAGAAGGAUCAGUUCUUUUUUUUUUUUUUUUUUUGAGACAGGGUCUUGCUCUGUUGCCCAGGCUGGAGUGCACUGGCACAGUCACAGUUCCCUGCAGCCUUGACCUCCCAGAUCCAAGCAAUCCUCCCACCUAAGCCUCCUAAGUAUCUGGGUCUAUAGGCACGUGCCACCACCAUGCCCAGCUGAAUUUUGUAUUUUUUUGUACAGACAGCAUUUUGCCAUGUUGCCCACGCUGGUCCCAAACUCCUAGCCUCAAGCAACCCUCCUGCCUCAGCCUCUCAAAGUGCUAGGAUUGCAGUCCUGAGCUACUGCACCCUACCCUCUUUGCCUCUUAGGAGUCAUUUAGAUUUGUUUUGAUCCUUUUGUUUAGUGCCUCUGGAGCUGCUUACACCAAGGCAAUACCCCUUGAUAUGAUACUGGAUGGUUGAGAGGCAGCCUCUUUUUUUUUUUUUUUUUUUGAGGAUAGGGAGUAUGGCUGUUGUGAGAAAAGGGAAUUAAAGAGAAAUGGUAGAUCUGAAGAGGCCUCAUCAGAGCAUAUAUUUUAGGACAACACAUGGAAAUUGGACCUCUGUAAGUUGGUUUCCAUAGAGCUAUGCAUGUAUCCUUACCCCAUGGGAAAAUGUUGGUGUGUUCUCAAGGGUAUGCAUAUGUCAUUUUGAAGACCAAGGCCCUAGAAUUGUCAAACUUAAGGAUCAUGAAAAUCAUGAGGGUUGCUUGUUAAAAAUGUCCAAACCCGCAGAGACUGAUCUUUGAGAUCUGGACCAGGAAUUUGCAUUUGAACAAGUGUUCCUGGAAUCUCUAUGCAAGUUUUAUACAGAACAUACUUUUGGAAUCCUUGCCCUAGACAGGGGUGUCCAAUCUUUUGGCUUCCCUGAUCCACAAUGGAAGAAGAAUUAUCUUGGACCACACAUAAAAUACACUAACACUAACAAUAGCUGAUGAGCUAAAAAAAAAAAAAAAAAAUCGUGGGCCGGGCGUAGUGGCUUACGCCUGUAAUUCCAGCACUUUGGGAGGCCGAGGCAGGCAGAGCACCUGAGGUAGGGAGUUCUAGACCAGCCUGACCAACAUGGAGGAACCCCAUCUCUACUAAAAAUACAAAAAAUUAGCUGGGCAUGGUGGUGCAUGCCUGUAGUCCCAGCUACUCGGGAGGCUGAGGCAGGAGAAUCACUUGAACCUGGGAGGUGGAGGUUGUGAUGAGCUGAGAUUGUGCCAUUGCACCCCAGCCUGGGCAAUAAUAGCGAAACUGUCUCAGAAAAAAAAAAUCGCAAAAAAAAAAUCUCAUAAUGUUGUUGUUGGUUUUUUUUUUUUUUUUUUUGAGACGGAGUCUCACUCUGUUGCCCAGGCUGGAGUGCAAUGGCAUGAUCUCUGCUCACCGCAACCUCUGCCUCCUGGGUUCAGGUGGUUCUCCUGCCUCAGCCUCCCAAGUAGCUGGGACUACAGUCACAUACCACCAUGCCCGGCUAAUUUUUGUAUUUUUAGUAGAGACAGGGUUUCACUAUGUUGGCCAGGCUGGUCUUGAACUCCUGACCUCAUGAUCCACACACCUUGGCCUCCCAAAGUGCUGGGAUUACAGGCAUGAGCCACCGCACCCAGCCAAGUUAUAAUUUUUAAUAAAACAAGAAGUAAACAUUUUACUUAUGUUUAUAGAUAUUUGAUGCUAAAUUUGACACAUCAUUGCCUAUGAAAGAAUCCUCAUGCUGCUCAGCUUUACUCCUCUUCCUGCUUGCCCACCGGGGUUUUUCACUGCUUCUGUUAGCACUAAGUACUUAGACGAUCCUAAGAUAUGUGCUUGAGCCGAAUUUCAUCUUUACUUGUAGGAAACUUUAAACUAUUUCUUUUCUUUUUUUUUUGAGAUGGAGUUUUGCUCUUGUUUGCCCAGGCUGGAGUGCAGUAGAGUGAUCUCGGCUCACUGCAACCUCCGCCUCCGGGGUUCAAAUAAUUCUCCUGCCUCAGCCUCCCAAGUAGCUGGGAUUACAGGUGUGCACCACCAUGUCUGGCUAAUUUUGUAUUUUUAGUAGAGAUGGUUUCACCAUGUUGGUCAGGCUGGUCUCGAACUCCUGACCUCAGGUCAUCCACCCACCUCAGCCUCGCAAAGUGCUGAGAUUACAGGCAUGAGCCACAGUGCCCAGCUUAAACUAUUUUCUUGAUCUGUUUUUGAUUUUCUUUUUUCCUUGCCACUGCGGUACAGAUUUUUUUUACUCACUGCCACUAAACUAAAGCAAGGCAUAGUUUAUAUGUGAAGUGUUCAGAGUUUACUGCUAUAAGGAAACUUCCAAAUACUGACAUUCACCUUUUAGCUGUAGUUAUUGGGACCAUGUGCUCUGGUUUUCUGGAGACUGCCAAAUUGCUCCCAUUUUUCUGCAUCCCACCUGGUUUCUUUCUACCUGUCCCCUUUCACUUUCAAAUGUCUUCAUUUGGAUGUUAAAUUAUGUGGUCACCUAGUUAUAGGUAAGCCUUGUUCGAGUUGAAAUCUUGAUUGUGAGGAAGGAUCUGUGUCAUUGGAGCUCGUUGUUUCUGCUGCAACGUGCUGUAGACUAUGAAUAAUGAAAUCAUACCACAUUACCAUCAGAUUUCUUGUUUUAGUUGUCAUUUAAAUUAAUAUUUAUGAUUGUUAUCUUGGGCAAAAAGUUCAGAGCAGAGAUGACAAAUCAUUAGAACAACGAUGAAUUUCAGUAUUACGGCUAAAAAGUUCUUCUGUCUCAAUAUUAACUCACUCUCCUUGCAGUGUACUUCACAGUAAUUGGUAUGCUUUUUUAUUUAAUGCUUAAAUCAAACUUUAUAAAAAUCUUAGACCAGAUCUUUAGUAUGGUAUGCCAUUUCCCCAGUCUACCAAUGGAAUAGUAUGGGUUUCUAAUCCUAGGCUUGUACAAUGGAUUGGAGUUGAGCCAUGCCAGCCUCCACACUGCCACUAACUUCUGUAAUGUAAGAUUGAGUCACUGACAAGCAUUUGAAAUAUGCAGUUGUGUUUUAAUUAUAAUUUAUGUAUAGUUAGAUGUAUGUAAUGCAUUGUGUGGUAUUAUUUGCUUUGUAAGAAUUUAUUUUUAAGGGUCAAGGUCAUUUGUAACAUUUUGUGUGUGUCAAUUCAAUGCAGUGUUGGCUGCCUUUUGAAGUCUUUGAUGUAUUGGUGAAUAUUCUUCUGUUCUAUAAUACAAAGCUAUGUAAUGUUA